GUUAUGGAUCAGAAAGCAAUGUUACUCCAACAAUCAUCUUGGCAAAAUAAUGUUAGAAUGAGUAAUCUAGUUGAACAGAUCCGUGGUCCUCUUUCUAGCAUUCGAACUUUGAGUGAAGAGAAGUGAGAUUUCUUAUGACAUUAUUGAAGACAUACUGGUACAGGGUGAACAAAUGAAAGAUGCUCUUCAAGAACUCCAGGAUGCUGUUUACUUGACAAAGGCCAAUAUAAUGCUCUAUAAUGAAAAGGCAUUAAAGAAAAUUAUAUUGGCCUUUGUCAAGUAA
rnacentral:misc_RNA from 1 species